rnacentral:misc_RNA from 1 species
GAUGAAGAACGCAGCGAAAUGCGAUACGUAAUGUGAAUUGCAGAAUUCAGUGAAUCAUCGAAUCUUUGAACGCAUAUUGCGCUCUCUGGUAUUCCGGAGAGCAUGCUUGUUUGAGUAUCAGUAAACACCUCAACUUCCAUAUCUUUUUUGAAAUGGGAGUUGGACUUGAGUGAUCCCAACGCUUUUCCUCACCGAAAAGUGGCGGGUUACUUGAAAUGCAGGUGCAGCUGGACUUUUCUCUGAGCUUUAAGCAUAUCUAUUUAGUCUGCCUAAAAAACAGAUUAUUACCUUUGCUGCAGCUAACAUAAAGGAGAUUAGUUCUUGUGCUGACUGAUGCAGGAUUCACAAAGACGGCUUCGGCCGACUUUGUAAACUCGAUCUCAAAUCAAGUAAGACUACCCGCUGAACUUAAGCAUAUCAAUAAGCGGAGGA